AUUGAACGCUGGCGGCAGGCCUAACACAUGCAAGUCGAACGGUAACAGGAAGAAGCUUGCUUCUUUGCUGACGAGUGGCGGACGGGUGAGUAAUGUCUGGGAAACUGCCUGAUGGAGGGGGAUAACUACUGGAAACGGUAUCUAAUACCGCAUAACGUCGCAAGACCAAAGAGGGGGACCUUCGGGCCUCUUGCCAUCGGAUGUGCCCAGAUGGGAUUAGCUAGUAGGUGGGGUAACGGCUCACCUAGGCGACGAUCCCUAGCUGGUCUGAGAGGAUGACCAGCCACACUGGAACUGAGACACGGUCCAGACUCCUACGGGAGGCAGCAGUGGGGAAUAUUGCACAAUGGGCGCAAGCCUGAUGCAGCCAUGCCGCGUGUAUGAAGAAGGCCUACGGGUUGUAAAGUACUUUCAGCGGGGAGGAAGGGAGUAAAGUUAAUACCUUUGCUCAUUGACGUUACCCGCAGAAGAAGCACCGGCUAACUCCAUG
rnacentral:rRNA from 1 species